rnacentral:ribozyme from 1 species
GGCUCUCCAUACCCUACUUCGACUCAAUACGUCCCCGGCGUAUAGAACGGUAACAUGUCUCUCCAAAUAUCUGAGCUUGGGUAUACGGGGAAACCCAAUCCCUUGGGAAGAUGGGUGAUAUGGUUAAAUUGAGCGAA